rnacentral:lncRNA from 1 species
UAUUUAUGUAUUAAGGAGCGAGCCCUUAUUCUAUAAAAGGGACUCUCUCACUUUCAUUAGAGAGCACCCAUUAUUCAUGUACUGAGGAGUGAGCCUUUAUUUUAUAAAAGGGACUCCCUCACCUUCAUUAGAGAGCAACAUCGCCAGCUGAGCAACCGUCUCGCCGCGAGCAUCACUCCUAGCCCAUCACUUAUGUAUUGAGGAGCGAGCCUUUAUUCUAUAAAAGGGACUCCCUUACCUUCAUUAGAGAGCAACGCCGCCAGCUGAGAAAUCGCAUCGCCGCGAGCAUCACUCCUAACCCAUCAUUUAUGUAUUGAGGAGCGAGCCCUUAUUCUAUAAAAGGGACUCCCUCACCAUCAUUAGAGAGCAUCGCCGCCUACUGAGCAACCGUCUCACCGCGAGCAUCAACUCUAACCCAUCAUUUAUGUAUUGAGGAGUAAGCCUUUAUUCUAUAAAAGGGACCUCCUCACCUUCAAGCACCACAUGCCGGGCCAACCAAGGCAACAUAAGCCACAAGCCGAGCAGCCUCGCAACAUGUGCUACUUAUAGUUGAGCAUCAUUUCACUUUGAGUACCGCCUAAUAUCAAGUAUUAGUUCAAGACGACAUCUAGUUACUUCGGCCCACACAUGGACUAAAUUUCAAGUCUCCAGCCAAAAGACUUUCUUGACUGAAGACUUGGGGGACUACUGUUUAUACCAUAUUUAGGGCCUCGUAUUUAGAUCUUGUACAAAUACUCGGGGGACUUAAAUGUAAUUAUGUGAUAAAGGAAGGGGCAAAUAUGUAAUAAGUGAGGAGUCCUUAUUCUAUAAAAUGACCCAUCACCCUCACAAUUAGGAGAGGCCAAUUUCUUAGGCCAUGGAAGGGUUCUCUCACCCUCAGAAGCUCUCUCCAUCUCUCUCCAUCUCUCUCCAUCUCUCUCCAUCUCUCUCCCUCACAAAUAGAUAAAUACAUAAUCAGUGUGGACGUAGCCCAAACCUUGGGGUGAACCACGAUACAUCUUGUGUUAUUUACAUUUCUUGCAUAUUCACGGUCGGAUUUACGUUGUCCCAAGACCUCAGGUUUUGUGCAUCAACAUAGGCUAUUUUGAGUUUUUGAGUUUUGAGUUUUGAGUUUUGAUAAUUUUUUUAAUAUUUAGCUUAGAGGGUACAAUUACUAGAAUUGUGUAAACAUAGAUUGGGAAAGUCAUCUGACAAGGUUGUUAGAACAAAGUCACAAAAAACCCUUAUUUGUGAACAACUCUUUGAGCACAAAAUGUCAUAUGGUGUCCUAUGAUCAAAGGGCACGCUCAUAGAGAGCACAUAUAAAAUUUUAGUUGCUGCAUUGUUGCUAUUGGUUUAUGGGCACAUAUGUUAGUGUCCUUAAGUAUCAAAGGGCACAAUGAAUUUUUUGUGUACAUUGCCCAAAUUUUUUGUAGUGCGUCAAUCACAUAUGUCACAAUGUUUUCUAACACACUUCCAUAAUCAAUUACACACAACAUUUCAAUGAACCAAUAAACUUUAACCACAUUAAUCAAUCAAUCUGAUAGAAAUCAAAUCCAUUCAUAAACUAUACUUUACAAAAUUUAUAAAGAAACUAGUUGGAAAUCCUAAAGUAAUCACAUCGACAUCUACCGUCUCGUCUAAAUUGGUUCUCAAAGAUUCUUAAAUCUUUCAUUCACGAAUAUGCUAAAAACUAGUCCUAGAGCGACAUAGUUCGGCCGAAGCCUACACUCUUAAGUUUCAGCAUUCUAGAUCGAUCUAAAAGAACUGUUAAGAUUUCUAGGGAUUUAGUUCCCAACCAACUCAAUGGAACUGAAUAGAAAGAGAGAUUUUGGACUAUUCAAUGGAAUCCAACUCUAGAAUGCUUAUGGUCCCCCAAUGAGGAUUAACCAAGCAAGAUCAUAGGCAUGCAUCCAAUAGUGUGGUCCCCCCAUCACAGAUAAACCAAGUAGGCAUCAAAUGGUAGGGUCUCUCAAUGCAGAUUAACUAAGCAGGAACACCCCAUGAGCACAUGUAACCAAGUAGGUAGUGACCCUCCAAUGCGGAUUAACGAAGUAGAAUCACCUUUAGAAUGCAUAUGGUCCCUAAUGUGGAUUAACCAAGUAGGACCAUAGGUAUGCACCCAAUAGUGUGGUCCCACAAUGUGGAUUAACCAAGUAGGACCACCUAUGGGAAACAAGGUAACUAAAUAAGCAGUGACCUCUCAAUGCGGAUUAACCAAGAAGAGUCACCCCUAUAAUGCAUAUGGUCUUCCAAUGUAGAUUAACCAAGCAAAACCAUAGGCAUGCGUCAAAUGUUGUGGUCCCCAAUGCAGAUUAACCAAGCAGAACUACCCAUAUACCACAUUGCUACAUGAUUUUGUUAUAUCAUACACAUUAUACAUCCGAUGUCAUGCAUCAUACAUUAAUCUAACACGAACCACAAUUGUAAGCACACAUACCAACGAUUCGACAUGACUAACCAAAGGUCAUGUCAUACAGACAUAUAAGUUCUACUAAAUACUUCUAAUUCAAUGCUCAUAUUUUCAUAUUAUUAAUCGCACAUAUCAUUUAUACCAUAUAGAAGUUCAAUAAUCACGUAAAUUUCAGUAAGGUGCUACUUUCACGCAAACCGAAUCACACAUCCCUCAAGAUGGCUCACUGACCAAGAUAGGCCCACCCCAAAUAUCUAGUAAUAUUAAUUUUAGUAUUUAAGAACAAUUCAUAACAGUUUGACCAAAAAUUAACCCUCGGUCAACGUAAACGUUGUCCACGGUAUGAUCAAUAACCUUAGUAAUCCAAUCUGAAAGAUUAGUAUGUCAGAUUUUUUUAUCAGCAAAUUCUUAUGAUCUUCAAAUAAGACACACAUCAACAUACUAUAAUUUCGUGGUGAUUCAACGGUUGGAUCGUACUAUCAAUAACUCAUAGUAAUCCAAUCCAAAAGAUCCGUACGUUGAAUAUCUGAUCAGUAAAUUCCUAUGAUCCUUAAAUAAUACACACAUCAACAUACUAUAAUUUCGUGACGAUGGCGGUUAGAUCUUCAUUUACUACAACGACUAUGUGGCGGCCAUUUACAAAACUAAGGUCAAACAAUGAAAUCACAUCAAACAUAUGUCAAAAUUGAAUUCAGGGCAUCGAA